rnacentral:tRNA from 2 species
GGAGCAGUACUCAAGUGGUCGAAGAGGCGUGACUCGAAAUCUCGUAGGCCGGGUGACCGGCGCCAGGGUUCAAAUCCCUGCUGCUCCGCCA